rnacentral:rRNA from 1 species
UACGUAGGGAGCAAGCGUUGUCCGGAAUCAUUGGGCGUAAAGCGCGCGUAGGUGGCCUCAUAAGUCCGCUGUGAAAGUCAAAGGCUCAACCUUUGAAAGCCGGUGGAUACUGUGAGGCUAGAGUACGGAAGAGGCGAGUGGAAUUCCUGGUGUAGCGGUGGAAUGCGCAGAUAUCAGGAGGAACACCGAUGGCGAAGGCGACUACCUGGCCUGUUUCUUGACGCUGAGGCGCGAAAGCUAGGGGAGCAAACGGG